rfam:Lactococcus lactis subsp. cremoris TIFN6 scaffold24.1_3, whole genome shotgun sequence.
GGGGGCGUUACGGAUUCGACAGGCAUUGUCGCGCAUGAACUGCAACUGCUGAGGGAUCAGGAUAAUCAUCCGCAGAUAAAUAUAACUGCUAAAAAUAAUACACAAACUUACGCAAUGGCAGCCUAAACAGCACCAUGCGUGCCUGAUUUUUGCUCACUGAUGGCAAUUUGACGGCCUAAACUUUUAGUCAGAUACGUUGUUGUGGAGACUUGACGCAGCAAAAGAGAUUUAAAGUCCCGCAAAAUGUCGCUGUUUGAGACUGGCUUUGGCAUUUUGUUAAAUUUGAGAAAGUCCUAUGGUUGUAGACGUUGAUGUAGCAAGGUGUUUGGACAGGGGUUCGACUCCCCUCGCCUCCAUUG